rnacentral:rRNA from 1 species
AUUGAACGCUGGCGGCAGGCCUAACACAUGCAAGUCGAACGAGUGGCGGACGGGUGAGUAAUGUCGGGGAAACUGCCCGAUGGAGGGGGAUAACUACUGGAAAAGGUCGCUAAUACCGCAUACCAUCGGAUGUGCCCAGAUGGGAUUUGCUAGUAGGUGGGGUAAACGCUCACCUAGGCGACGACCCCUAGCUGGUCUGAGAGGAUGACCCGACACACUGGAACUGAGACACGGUCCAGACUCCUACGGGAGGCAGCAGUGGGGAAUAUUGCACAAUGGGCGCAAGCCUGAUGCAGCCAUGCCGCGUGUAUGAAGAAGGCCUUCGGGUUGUAAAGUACUUUCAGCGGUGAGGCGUUACCCGCAGAAGAAGCACCGGCUAACUCCGUGACAGCAGCCGCGGUAAUAC